CUUGCUUCUAAUAGCACUGAAUUCAUCGACUCAACUAUGUUUGUUGUGAGCAUGUCAUAUCUUCGUCAUGGACUACAAGAAUGUGCUCAUCUUUCCGGUGGUUCUUCCAUCAAGUAUUCAUAAGUUUUCUUAUCUACAUUUGCAAUACCUGACAUGUAUAUGUCAAAUUCUUUACGCUUGUAAACUCUUGCAGCACUUUGGAAAAGCUUUAUGACCCCACUUUUCACCUUUCUUCGCCUUAGGUUCUACUCCAAAUGAUAGAUGCAAAUCCCAUGAUGGCUUUCAGGAUAUACCUUUGC
rnacentral:lncRNA from 1 species